rnacentral:rRNA from 1 species
AGCCUGAACGCUGGCGGCGUGGCUAAGACAUGCAAGUCGUACGGGUGUAGCAAUACACCAGUGGCGGACGGGUGAGUAAUGUAUCGCUAACGUGCCCUUCAGUCCGGGAUAGCCGAGGGAAACUUCGGGUAAUACCGGUUGACAUCACGAGCAGGCAUCUGCUUGUGCUCAAAGGCGUAAGCCGCUGAAGGAGCGGGGCGAGUAUCGGUAUCAGCUAGUUGGCGGGGUAACGGCCCACCAAGGCGACGACGCGUAGCCGGACUGAGAGGUUGGCCGGCCACAUUGGGACUGAGACACUGCCCAGACUCCUACGGGGGGCUGCAGUAACGAAUCUUCCGCAAUGCACGCAAGUGUGACGGAGCGACGCCGCGUGUGGGACGAAGCCCCUCGGGGUGUAAACCACUGUCAGGGGAUAGAAAGUUCUGAUCAUCCCAGAGGAAGGCACGGCUAACUCUGUGCCAGCAGCCGC